ensembl:snoRNA
AUGCAUCUGUUUGACAGACCUGGAGCAGUUACUGUCUGCUGCUAAGGUUUCCACCUCAGAUGCAAGACAAAAGUGUCCUCGUGGUUUCUGUCUGAUUGUGGCAGCCAAGAUUGAAUGAGGGAAUAUAAAA